CACCUACCACGGGAUUCCCAGAGGACAAGAGCUAAAAAACCACCACUGGAGAAGGAUCAGAUCUUUCUCCAGGAUCACCACGUUGACAGAACCACAUCCAUCAAUCCAGCAGGACUGCAGCCACCAUUUAAUCACCACCCUGACCAGCAGGGUGUCAGAAAACACAUAAAGUACUGGAGACUGCAACAACCAAAUCAGAAACUCUGCAGAACACCAGUCUAUUCAUAAAGACCUGAUUUGCACGUUCUCAGCACUUGGCUUCCUUUGAAUGGGAUUAGAUGGCACAAUCUCUUUUCACACUGCAUGGAGCUGAAGCUCCUGCUUCACAAACAAAUACAACCCUGAGCUUCCCAAAAUGGAAGGUAAUAACGUAUUUGUAUUUCUUUCCAAGCUGAUUUCUUUUACUCAUCUAACUUCAGAAUGAUUGAGGAACAAGCAAGCUGCAGCUAUAGAUUAGCACCUACUCAUAUCCACCCACGUGACAGGAUGAAAAGAGAAGGAGAACAAUGGAUAUUUUGGAUAUUUGCCAACAAUGGAUGUAUUGCCAGCUAAGAAAACGCCAGGAGCAGAAGGCAGAGGGGGAAGCUCUCCUCCCAAGUGAGGGUUGAGGCAAGAUCAAUCUGCUUCUUGAAGUACUGAGGCCUUUCACAGAAAUGAAAAAACAAC